UCGGUUUGUUAAACUCAUUAGUUAGGAAAUUAGUUAGUGAGUUAGAAACUUAGUUAGGAGCCUUAGAUUCUAACUAAUUGUCUGGUAAUAGCUGUAACUGAAUCUUGCAUACACUUCUUGUAAAUCUCUAUGACCGUUGCCUCUAAAUGUGACCAAGGCUGAGAACGUGAAAGGGUGAGCAAGAGAAUGUGGAGAGUCACAUUCUGUGAGUGAGCAGGAGAGAUGAUAUUCUUUAGUAAGAGAAAGUGAGAUGGUGAGAGAAAAUAUAUAACACCAUCUUCUGUAACUUUCUGUGAGAGUUUACUGGUGAGGUUUUCUGGUUCUUCCCGGUUGAGUGGUGAGUGGUGGUGUUUUGUGUAAGAUAAACACUGAGUAAUUUCCUCUUUUAAUGGCAGAUUGACUGGGGUUAAAUCCUUGCAAUGGUUGAUGAAAUUUUGUCCUUAAAAUAUGAAGUUCU
rnacentral:lncRNA from 1 species